CACGUGGUUGUACUUGAUCACCACAUGCGCAAUUUUGUUGAUAUUCAUGACUCCCUUGACUGUCCUCCUAGGGUUUUGCUGUGCUCCUUGCGUGAUGGAAGUGUAAUUAUGCCUCUGUAUGAACAGCCAUUAGCCAUUCAAUUUAAACGGCUUGAACUUGACCCUCCAGAGAUAGUUGAGGUUCAUGCAAAUGAUGGGAC
rnacentral:misc_RNA from 1 species